UCCUUGCUGAAUGAACUACAUUUCCCAGAGGGCCCCGAGGCACGCCCCGACAUCAUGGCUGCACUACAAGAGGCCACGGCCACAGGUUUGUCAAAGCUCCAGUAUCACCGCGGACAGCAACUGAAGCCAUGAAAUUAAAAGACUUUUGCUCUUUGGAAGGAAGGCUAUGACAAACCUCAACAACUUUAUUUAGGCCCCAGCUUUAAGAAAACUAUCCACAGUCAAGAGGCCAAGAAUGUGAACCUGUGAGUGAUGUUAAAGAAAACAAGAACUGAGUGCUAGUUGAAGGACCUUGUUUUUUUGUUUUUAAUUCAGGAACUAUUGCCAUAGGAGAAAGACUUCAGUAUAGAACUGGCUCAAUUUCAAAUAUAGCAAGAGAGGAUUUAUAGACAAGGAGCAAGUUAGGGUUGCGGGGUGGUCAGUUUAUGGAAAAUUACAAAGAGGAGACAUAAAGGGGUGGGGGAAUUCUUGUUAGGCUGACUAAUAGAAUUGUUGCUGAGGGAAGGUCAGAGUGAUCACAUACCACUGGGGUGGAUGAGGAAUUUAAUUAAAUACUGAGAGUGAUCAGAUAUCAAGAAUGUGAGCUAAACUGACUUGACAGAAUUCUUGCUAAAACUGGGUGAUGCGAAGACAAACACUGAAGCCCAAAGGUUGAAGCCUAGUUGAGAAGAGGGUUCUGAGGGGUCUGACUAAAAUUAGGUCAAGGAGAGUCUUUGUCAGUGAAAGUUCAAAAAAAAAAA